AAAAAUACUACUUUGUUAAUUCUGUGACACUGAAAAAGUACUAGUAAGGCACACGGUGUGUUUUAUACAGUCUAUGGGCAGCUGAAGAGUCUGGCUCAUUUUCAAAUAAUGUUACCGUUAACUUUUUGAUUUUUUUUAACAUUAAUGUUAACGCCUUAAUGCGUUUUCAGAAGUUUCUCGGAGGGAAAAUGUAAAAGCGGGUUAUUAAAGAGAAGUCCUGACUGCUUUUCCACCGUGUUUUUCACUCUUUUACAGGCUUUCAGAAAUAAUCCGGUGAAAUAAUAUGAUGUUUGUGUAAAUGCUGUGUGUGCGUUGAGUCCUGUGCGAGCUGGGAGCAGAGUUGCCAUGGAAACGGGGCGUCAACACAAAAACCGUUACUGGCAAGCAGUAAUCUCCGUCUCUCGCUGCGGUUUACACUGUUUUGGAAACGGUUUAGUGUCUUCGGAAAAGUCCGUUAUCAUUUUAGCAGUUUUUAGAUGUUUGUUUGUGUAAAUGCUGUGUGCGCGUUGAGUCCUGCGCGAGCGGGGAGCAGAGUUGCCAUGGAAACGGGGCAUCAACACAAAAACCGUUACUGGCAAGCAGUAAUCUCCGUCUCUCGCUGCAGUUUACACUGUUUUGGAAACGGUUUAGUUUCUUCGGAAAAGUCCGUUAUCAUUUUAGCAGUUUUUAGAUGUUUGUUUGUGUAAAUGCUGUGUGCGCGUUGAGUCCUGCGCGAGCGGGGAGCAGAGUUGCCAUGGAAACGGGGCAUCAACACAAAAACCGUUACUGGCAAGCAGUAAUCUCCGUCUCUCGCUGCAGUUUACACUGUUUUGGAAACGGUUUAGUUUCUUCGAAAAAGUCCGUUAGCAUCUUAGCAGUUUUCAGGAGGACAGAAAGAAACUCUACAGAACAGAAGUGAAGCUCCAAGAUUUCAACAUUUCUGAAGGGAGAUUCUGACUUAGAAAUACAGGUGACCUGAAGAAGCUCAUGAAAAACAUGAAUAUGCCUUUUUCAGAAUACAUUUCACCAAUUUUAAGAAGUCCCUGACAUCAUAACCUUGUUUCCUUCUAAUGAACCUGGAACUGCAGAGUAAAUAUUGUUGACUCUGUGUCAGAUUGCUUGUUUUGUUCCUGGAUUUUUCAGUGAUGAUGAGCAGAGUCUGAGUGAACCUGCUGUCAGACAGGUUGGCCUGAUUGACGAUGCCAUCGUCCAUCGCCGAUGGCUGAUAGACAUCACGAUGCUGCGCCGGAAACAGCGUCAUCAGCUCCAGUAUCUCGCCCGUGCAUCUGUUGUCAUGCGACAGAGAAGUCACGUUCUAUAGACAGUUUCUAUAGACAGUUGUGAACGUGCUGACAGCUGGUUGCCCAGGCUAUGGAUUAAAGGGCCAGCAGAGCCCUGCUCACCCUGACGGCCCACUGCUGCUGUCAGACAACAUCUCCAAGAUGCUAGAAACUGCAGGACCAGAUGGCCAUCCCAAGGUUUCUAGAGAUUACAGCAGCUCCAGACUGAAUCCAAACUCACUCGUGAAGACUUCAGAUGACACCAACGCUCACAAAGACUACAGACGACAACUGUACAUGAACACACAAAACAUUGGACACACAAAACAAAUAUUAUCCUUAUUUUGCCUAUAAGGGUAAAUUUGAUGAUUUUCGAACUGCUUUAUUGUAACGUCUCUUAUAUCUGUAAAUGAACAAUAUUUACUCUCUGAGUUAUGUGGACCUACAUGUCCCCUUUUAUUUGUAAGCAUCACUUUAAAAAUGUUGAAAGAUAAUGUUAAUGUUAACUGAAUACAAAACUAGAGACUUGUUUAGUAAGAUUUUAUCAGAAAAUAUUUUUGAACUUUUAUCAUGCAACAUUUUAAUUGCUUAAUUAGUAUUGUUUGCCUGGUUUUAUUUUGUGUUUAUGUAACUCUUUUUAAAAAGUUCUUGGCAUAAAGUUCGCAUGCGAUGCUGACAGCACUGAACACAUGACUUUUUAUUAUGAACUAGAUGGUCUUCCCAGUGAGUCUCAGUCAUCUCUGGCUUUUUAAACUGUAACCUUGAAACAUGCAUUUCCUGUAAACCUACUUUGAAAUAAGUAUUGUCAAAAGGUGCUAUACUCAAACAACAUUUAACCAUGCAAGUACUGUAGUAAUGGUUAUUUUUGUUUUUACUAUGGGUUUACUGCAAAAGCUGUAGUAAAAUCAUGGUGAUUGUAGUAAAACUAUGGUUGCUUUUGUUUUUUCUAUGGUUUUACUGCAAAAGCUGUAGUAAAAUCAUGGUUAAUGUUCAAAAGACUACAAAUAAUCCCGAAUUAUCCACUUUUGAUCAAAGCAUCUGGUAAAUGUUAUUGUAUUUGUACAUGUAAUAUGAAAUAAAUGAAAAUAUUAAUAAAGUUGCGUCUGUUCUUGA